GACGAACGCUGGCGGCGUGCUUAACACAUGCAAGUCGAACGGGCCUUGUCCCCUUUUUUUUGGGGGUGGGGUUAGUGGCGCACGGGUGAGUAACACGUGAGUAACCUGCCCCUCACUUCUGGAUAACCGCUUGAAAGGGUGGCUAAUACGGGGUGUUCUGGCCUGCUCGCAUGGGUGGGUUUGGAAAGAUUCGACCGGUUUUGGUUGUUUUGGGUGGGGAUGGGCUCGCGGCCUAUCAGCUUGUUGGUGGGGUGAUGGCCUGCCAAGGCUUUGACGGGUAGCCGGCCUGAGAGGGUGGGCGGUCACACUGGGACUGAGACACGGCCCAGACUCCUACGGGAGGCAGCAGUGGGGAAUAUUGCACAAUGGGCGCAAGCCUGAUGCAGCGACGCCGCGUGAGGGAUGGAGGCCUUCGGGCUGUGAACCUCUUUCGCCAGUGAAGAAGGUCCUGCUCUUUGUGGUGGGGUUGACGGUAGCUGGGUUAAUGAAGCGCCGGCUAACUACGUG
rnacentral:rRNA from 1 species